AACCUCUGGAGAAUCUCCACCGUGAGUGCCGAAGGUGCAAGGCGUUUUUCGCCGAAUCUCUCAGGCAAAAGGACAGAGUGC
rnacentral:ncRNA from 1 species